rnacentral:rRNA from 1 species
GACGAACGCUGGCGGCGCGCUUAACACAUGCAAGUCGAGCGAUGAAAUUUUAACAGAUCCUUUCGGGGAGAAGAUAAGAUGGAUUAGCGGCGGACGGGUGAGUAACACGUGAGUAACCUGCCUUUGACACAGGGAUAGCCUCGGGAAACCGGGAUUAAUACCAGAUAACAUUAUCAGAUCGCAUGAGAAGAUAAUCAAAGCUGAGGCGGUCAAAGAUGGACUCGCGUCCCAUUAGCUAGUUGGUAGAGUAAUAGCCUACCAAGGCAACGAUGGGUAGCCGGCCUGAGAGGGUGAACGGCCACAUUGGAACUGAGAAACGGUCCAAACUCCUACGGGAGGCAGCAGUGGGGAAUAUUGCACAAUGGGGGAAACCCUGAUGCAGCGACGCCGCGUGAGCGAAGAAGGUUUUCGAAUCGUAAAGCUCUGUCCUAUGGGAAGAUAAUGACGGUACCAUAGGAGGAAGCCCCGGCUAACUACGUGCCAGCAGCCGCGGUAAUACGUAGGGGGCAAGCGUUGUCCGGAAUCACUGGGCGUAAAGGGUUCGCAGGCGGAAAUGCAAGUCAGGUGUAAAAGGCAGUAGCUUAACUACUGUAAGCAAUUGAAACUGUAUUUCUUGAGAUGUGGAGAGGCAAGUGGAAUUCCUAGUGUAGCGGUGAAAUGCGUAGAUAUUAGGAAGAAUACCGGUGGCGAAGGCGACUUGCUGGACACAAACUGACGCUGAGGAACGAAAGCGUGGGUAGCAAACAGG